GGUGGCUCCUCGAUCAUCAUGUUUAAAGCCAUCCUCUUCCACAUAAGGAAUGAGCUGCUAUAAAUGUGGAGGGGGAAAACCUAUAUUAAGACUUAUGGAGAACGUCUGGUAGAAUCUGGAGUUAUGGGCGGUCGACUCUCCCCGACGGCGUCGAUCUCCUCCCAGCGCGCAAACCGGCGCUGGACGUCGAACGGCGGGACGUGAUGACGUCACGCAGUACGGACUCGGAGCUAUGGAUGCCUUCUGUGAAUCGGCAGGGCGCAGCCAUUUUUUUCCGCCCCGUACAGGCACUCCUUCUCAGACCUCCGCCCUCCUCAGAAGAAAAUGGCCCGCGCGAUCCGCCUCCGUUACUUUCCUGCGUGUUUCAAUUGUGUUUUGAUCGGGAGGACUACAUUCCCCAUUGUCUCCAGCCAAUAUAAUGUAAACGGUUUGCCUUUCUUCUUUUUUCCCCCGUCUCCUGUGUGGCCGGUUCUCCCUCCAUGGCCAAGAAUAGCGCAAAAUCAAGAGGAAAAAAAAUACCUUUUUUUUUUUUUGUUCAAUAGCUUCUAUGUAAAAUGCAGGGUUUUUAGAGGCUGGAUUAGAAGCUGAAAAACGGGGGGGGGGGAGAUUAUAAAGCAGGUUUAAUGCUGGUUGCCUUUAAUUCACUGCUUUUCAACUCCAGGUGCUUUAAGAUGGGUGGAUUUCAGCUCCCAGAAUUCCCCAGCCAGGCCGACUAGGAACUUCUGGGAAUUGAAGUCCACCCAUCUUAAAGCCCCUGGAGUUGAGAAAUAUUACUUUAACUGAUGGUCAUAUACUGAAUGAGAUGCAUUAAAGGUUCCAGAUAGGAGAUGAAUUCGAGUCCAUUUAGUUGAAGAGAUAGCACAGUUUUAAGAUAUACUCAGGAUGGGAUGAAAAAUAUUUGAAGAAGGUACAUUCUUUUAGUUGGUUGAGACAAGAAAUGUAUUGCCUUGCAUUCUGUGAAGCACAAUACAAUAGAAUUGUUGGAAGUCAGUACCCACCCACCAUCCUAGAGAAGGAAAUAUUUGGGGGAAUAUUUUAAAAAAAGGCAGAAUAUUAUAUUUUCCCAAAGUAAUACUGGUAAUAGAAAAAUCUUAGACAGAAACCAGCCCCAAGUUUCCAUGCCCCAGAUAGAAACUCAGGAAAUCACCUUUUAGAAAUGCAGAUUCAGUAAUUUAUUCAGAAAGAUUGAGGCCCUAUUCAUGAGCAAACAAAUACUACAGGGCAGAAGUCCAUUCAAGACAAAAUAUUUUGAAAUCCUUUGCAGCAAGAUUUGACAGCUGACAAUAGCAGAAUGAUAAGAUUAGAUCCAGCAACCCCUCAUCCCAAGAAAUCCAACACACGACUUAGCCAUCAGCCACAAUAGAAAUUGCCCAACACUCUUAGAACACAAAAGCCCACCUCAAUGCACAUCCCCCUGGAGCAUUCCAAAAACAACCCAAAAGAAUGUAUAAAAACCCACCUAUCCCAAUCCCAUUUGGUCAGCUGCCUUAGAAUCACAUGGUGUUGUGGUUCUACAACUCAAUAAACUGGACCUUCUUUCCUAAA